rnacentral:rRNA from 1 species
GUGCCAGCCGCCGCGGUAAUACGGAGGGUGCAAGCGUUGUCCGGAAUCACUGGGCGUAAAGGGUGCGCAGGCGGGGCAGCAAGUCGGAGGUGAAAGCCCGUGGCUCAACCACGGAAGUGCCUUCGAAACUGUUGCUCUUGAGUCCCGGAGAGGUUGCCGGAAUUCGUGGUGUAGCGGUGAAAUGCGUAGAUAUCACGAGGAACACCAGAGGCGAAAGCGGGCAGCUGGACGGGUACUGACGCUCAGGCACGAAAGCGCGGGGAGCAAACAGGAUUAGAUACCCGGGUAGUCC